CCUACGGGUGGCAGCAGUGAGGAAUAUUGGUCAAUGGACGAGAGUCUGAACCAGCCAAGUAGCGUGAAGGAUGACUGCCCUAUGGGUUGUAAACUUCUUUUAUAUGGGAAUAAAAUGUUCCACGUGUGGGAUUUUGUAUGUACCAUAUGAAUAAGGAUCGGCUAACUCCGUGCCAGCAGCCGCGGUAAUACGGAGGAUCCGAGCGUUAUCCGGAUUUAUUGGGUUUAAAGGGAGCGUAGGUGGAUUGUUAAGUCAGUUGUGAAAGUUUGCGGCUCAACCGUAAAAUUGCAGUUGAAACUGGCAGUCUUGAGUACAGUAGAGGUGGGCGGAAUUCGUGGUGUAGCGGUGAAAUGCUUAGAUAUCACGAAGAACUCCGAUUGCGAAGGCAGUUCACUGGACUGCAGCUGACACUGAGGCUCGAAAGUGUGGGUAUCAAACAGGAUUAGAUACCCGUGUAGUC
rnacentral:rRNA from 1 species